rnacentral:rRNA from 1 species
UACGGAGGUGGCAAGCGUUGUUCGGAAUUACUGGGCGUAAAGGGCGCGUAGGCGGCUUUGCAAGUCAGAUGUGAAAGCCCCGGGCUUAACCCGGGAAUUGCAUCUGAAACUGCUUAGCUUGAGUUCUGGAUGGGGUAGUGGAAUUCCCAGUGUAGCGGUGAAAUGCGUAGAUAUUGGGAGGAACACCUGCGGCGAAGGCGGCUACCUGGACAGUGACUGACGCUGAGGCGCGAAAGCUAGGGGAGCGAACGGGAUUAGAUACCCCGGUAGUCCUAGCUGUAAACGAUGGGCACUUGGUGUUGGGGGUAUUGAGUCCCUCGGUGCCGGAGUUAACACGUUAAGUGCCCCGCCUGGGGAGUACGGUCGCAAGACUGAA